rnacentral:rRNA from 1 species
CAGUCUGAUGGAGCACGCCGCGUGAGUGAAGAAGGCUUUCGGGUCGUAAAACUCUGUUGUUGGAGAAGAAUGGUCGGCAGAGUAACUGUUGUCGGCGUGACGGUAUCCAACCAGAAAGCCACGGCUAACUACGUGCCAGCAGCCGCGGUAAUACGUAGGUGGCAAGCGUUAUCCGGAUUUAUUGGGCGUAAAGCGAGCGCAGGCGGUUUUUUAAGUCUGAUGUGAAAGCCCUCGGCUUAACCGAGGAAGUGCAUCGGAAACUGGGAAACUUGAGUGCAGAAGAGGACAGUGGAACUCCAUGUGUAGCGGUGAAAUGCGUAGAUAUAUGGAAGAACACCAGUGGCGAAGGCGGCUGUCUGGUCUGUAACUGACGCUGAGGCUCGAAAGCAUGGGUAGCGAACAGGAUUAGAUACC